rnacentral:rRNA from 1 species
GACGAACGCUGGCGGCGUGCUUAACACAUGCAAGUCGAGCGGUAAGGCCCUUUCGGGGGUACACGAGCGGCGAACGGGUGAGUAACACGUGGGUGACCUGCCCUCAGUUCUGGGAUAAGCCUGGGAAACCGGGUCUAAUACUGGAUAUGACCUCAUGACGCAUGUUGUGGGGUGGAAAGCCUUGUGCGACUGAGGAUGGGCCCGCGGCCUAUCAGCUUGUUGGUGGGGUGAUGGCCUACCAAGGCGACGACGGGUAGCCGGCCUGAGAGGACGACCGGCCACACUGGGACUGAGACACGGCCCAGACUCCUACGGGAGGCAGCAGUGGGGAAUCUUGCGCAAUGGGCGAAAGCCUGACGCAGCGACGCCGCGUGAGGGAUGACG